UUACUAGGGGAGGCUAGGGAUAGCAAGCCGGUAAUUGAUAUUAGGCCCUUUUCGCCGAGGGAUCGGGUUAAGGGGAGGCUAAGAAAGUCACAUAACAAUUUAAUCAAUCUAAUAAUCAAGGGUAGUAUGUAAGAGAGAGUGGAAUAAAUGAAAUUGUUAGUACCCAACAACAUCCAUUCAUCCAUUGUUUUCACUUGUCAAU
rnacentral:lncRNA from 1 species